AUGACGUAAGCGAGUGUGAUGUUCGUGGCAACAGUUGUGUGCAGAUCAACAAUGGAUAAUAUAUCGAGUGCGGGAGAGAGUAUGAGCGUGCAGCGUUUAAAGCGUGGAAGCACUGACCUUACUUUGAGUUUGAUUCCGUAAAAAGUGACAAAAACAUUAGCGUCCGCUGUUCACUGCGUGGGAAGAAAACUUCUUUUUACAGCGAAAAAAACCCUUAACUUCCGAGCAAGCACCAACUAUGCUACCACGGAAUGGGAAAUUCACAGAGAAACUUGUGGAUUCUUCCACUGACCGCUGCGGCACGCCUGCACCAGGGCAAACAUCUGCCUGCUAUACAGGUGAAAAUAGAGCAACAGGACCGCUGAGUCUUUGAUUUUAUUUAUUUUCUGCUGGGUUUCACUUGCAUUUAUUUGAAAGACUGAGUGUAAACACAAAAAAAUAUUUUAUUUUAUGUGCUGGAAUGUGCAGAAAAUAGGUUUAAAUGUUAAACAAAUUUCUUCCAGUCAGAGUGUUGAAAAGACCCACCUUUUAGCACAUCUCAGCACACCCAUUCACUUCACCAGGUGCACCUUGUUUAGUUCUCUCACCUUUAAUUGGGUGUGGUGCUUGUCCUUAAUUGCACUCACCUGUCACACAUAUAUAAGGACUGCAUUCACUUUUGGCUCACUCUUUCUUCACUCCCACACGGGGCGGCAGCAGAGGUGAGGUUCUGUUUGGGUUUUUAUUUUAUGUGUUGUUUAAGGUAAUGAGUAACUUAAAUCUGUUUUCUUUCAGCAUUGACAGUCCAUGUGUCUUUCCUUCUUUGCUUUAUUGAGUUGAGAAUAAAAGGAGAACCCUGUGAAUGAUUAGAUGACUGCUUAUUCUCAUUCUGAUCGGAUGAGCCCAUGAUGCUGAUUAUUUAAACCCUGAGCCUUCCUUCCUUCACAACACAGAGAAUGUUGCAUAUAAUUUAAUUUUUGCUUGAUGCAUAAAGUUAAAAGAUUAAAACUAAUAAAACAAGUUUUAAAAAGAGACUUUUCCAUUUGAUUACAUUUUAUAUGAUGGAUUAGGCAGAAAAAGUAGAAUUGGGCUGAAAGAUCUAUUGCUUUAUCACCUAUCCAGGUUGUAAGUCGUGUUUUUAAAAAGUAACUAAGUAAUUAAUUACUUUUGAAAAUAAGUAAUCAGUAAAGUAACGGGAUUGCUUUUUUGGGCAAGUAAUCAGUAAUUAGUUACUGAUUACUUUUUUCAAGUAACUUGACCAACACUGCUCAUCGCUAAUCCACCAGUGAUCACAGAGAGAGACUCAGUCACACUCAACUGUGAGACUCCCCUAUGUCUUUCUGUGCCUGAAUGUUAUUUCUACACUUCAAGUGGAGGGACAGUCAACAAGUUUUCCUGUCUAACGACACUGACAGCAACCAAACUGCUGGAGUUGGCACAUCUCAGAUCACCUACUGAAAUUUAAACUGAACUGUUCUUGCACUGCACAGUCUGGAGAGUUAACAUCUCCAUACAGUAACAUGUCCACCAUUAAAGUAAAAAAGUGAUUUUCUAUUCUACCCCAUUAUACAUUGGACAUAUACAAUAAUAAAUUAUAUAAUACAAUAUAUAACACUUUAUAUAUUGUAUAAUUUUAGGGUCUACCUUAAAAUAUAAAGUGCCUUGAGGCAACUGUUUUCUUAAUUUGGUGCUGUGUAAAUAAAAUUGGAAUAGAAAUAUUCAUACAGUAUCAAAACAGCAGAUGUUGUGUAUUGUAACAUUUCAGUUUUAAAUGUGACUUUAGUGGAAAAUCCAAAGGAUGCAAGCACGACAGAUUUAACAACUAUCAUUCCUGAUAAAACAUCAUCAUCAUCAUAAAACAUAAUGUGUUUUAAGUUUGCUAAUCACAGAUGUUUCCUGUUGUAAUAUUUUAGUCAUAAAUUGUGUUUAGGGACAACUUCAAAGGAUGGAAGAACCACAGAUUUAGCCACUGUCAGUCCUGGUAAAACAUCAUCUGGGGACAAAGUUCACACAGGUAUCUGUUAUGAACGUAUGUCAUUGUGACACUGUGCCUGUAAUAUUUUUUUUUAGUUUAUCUACUACUGUUCCACGUAGGAUACAUGUUAUGUAAUCACAUAAAAUAUCAGGUAUAAACCCAUCUGUGUUUUCAAAACCCAAAUUUACAAAAAAUCUAUAAAUAAAACCAGAAUGUAAUGAUUUUUUAAUCGUAUCAGCCUGUAUUUAUUCACAACCAAAUAAAUACAGUACAAAGUGAGUGACCUCCUUUCUUUCAUUCAUACAUUUAUGCAGUAUCCUCAUCACAGAUAUUUUGUGCUAUAACAUUUCAUUUUUAAAUGUUUAUUUAGGGGCAAAUCUCAAGGAUAAAAGAACCACAGAUUUGACAACCUUCAAUCCUGGUACACUAUCAUCUGGGGAGAGAGUUGAUGCAGGUAUCCUUCACUAAAAUAUUUUAUUGGGACAGCGUGACAUUUCUUUUUCUUUCUUUGCUGGUUUUGUUGUCUUUGUUGUUGUUGUUUAUUUUUGUUUUUCAAGUUUGGCCACUACUUUGACUUUCAAACACUGGUGCCACAUAAAUGUUAUCUAAUUACAAAAUGGUGUCAGAUCUAAAUUUAUCUUUGUUUUACAACCCAGAAUCCAAAAAAGUUAUAAUGCUAAUUUGCAAAAGUUGGGAUAAACAUGUAAAUAAAAGCAGAAUGCAAAAAUCUAUGACUCUUAUGAACUUCUAUUUUACUCACAGCCAAGUAAAUAAAGUACAAAGCAAGUGACUUUGUCUGCUAACUCAUUAUACAUUUAUAGAGUGUCCUAGUCACAGACAUUUUGUGCUGUAAUGUUUCAGUUUUAAAUUUGUGUUUAGGGGGAAAUUCAGAGAAUGGAAGAACCACAGUUUUAAAACAUUGUAAAACAUCUUUUGGGGACAUACAGGAUACAGAUAUCCUUCAUAUACGUUUAUUUAUUUAUUUUAUGUUGAAAUAAUUUUUAUUCUGAGUUAUAAUGAAUCUUUUUAACUGUUUAAUAUGAUGAGAUAUCAGUGUGAAGUUCAAUACUCCAGUAGUUUCAGAUCUCUCCUCACAUUACUAAAAAAGCAUAAUCUUCGCCAUAACAGAAAAAAAAAUUACAUGAGUUAAUGGCUUCUUUUCACAAUGCAGAACACCCAAAAGUCCAGGUUAACAUUAGUUGGCAGCAUUUGUGGAGUGACUGCAGUCUUCAUAAGAUUUGCACUUCUUUGCACCCAUAUAAGAAUUGGUGAGAAUCUAUGUAUUAAUCUGAAAGGAGCCGGAUGAAAAUAUUUUUAAUUCUUACAUGUAUUUAUAAAGGUUUGAACUU
ensembl:lncRNA